rnacentral:rRNA from 1 species
UACGUAGGGGGCAAGCGUUGUCCGGAUUUACUGGGCGUAAAGAGCGCGUAGGCGGCUCGUUAAGUGUGAAGUGAAAUCUCUAGGGCUCAACCCAGAAACUGCUUUACAUACUGGCGAGCUGGAGUGAUGAAGAGGUUUGUGGAAUUCCUGGUGUAGCGGUGAAAUGCGUUGAUAUCAGGAGGAACACCCAUGGCGAAGGCAGCAAACUGGUCAUCAACUGACGCUGAGGCGCGAAAGCGUGGGUAGCAAACAGG